rnacentral:rRNA from 1 species
CAGCAGUGGGGAAUAUUGCACAAUGGGCGCAAGCCUGAUGCAGCCAUGCCGCGUGUAUGAAGAAGGACCUUCGGGUUGUAAAGUACUUUCAGCAGUGAGGAAGGUGGGGUAUGUUAAUAGCAUAUUCAUUUGACGUUAGCUGCAGAAGAAAGCACCGGCUAACUCCGUGCCAGCAGCCGCGGUAAUACGGAGGGUGCGAGCGUUAAUCGGAAUUACUGGGCGUAAAGCGCAUGCAGGUGGUUUGUUAAGUCAGAUGUGAAAGCCCGGGGCUCAACCUCGGAAUUGCAUUUGAAACUGGCAAACUAGAGUACUGUAGAGGGGGGUAGGAAUUUCAGGUGUAGCGGUGAAAUGCGUAGAGAUCUGAAGGAAUACCGGUGGCGAAGGCGGCCCCCUGGACAGAUACUGACACUCAGAUGCGAAAGCGUGGGGAGCAAACAGGAUUAGAUACCCUGGUAG